rnacentral:tRNA from 1 species
AAUAAGGUGCCUGAUAAAAGGGUUAUUUUGAUAGAAUAAAUCAUGUAGAUCUCUACUCUUAUUA